GGCCACCUUCGGGGGGCUAUUACAUAAGCCGGGCAACCGGCUGCUAGCUAACGGAAGACAGAAA
rfam:Sagittula stellata E-37 1101159001468, whole genome shotgun sequence.